rnacentral:rRNA from 1 species
UACGGAGGGAGCUAGCGUUAAUCGGAAUUACUGGGCGUAAAGCGUGCGCAGGCGGUUAUGUAAGACAGGUGUGAAAUCCCCGGGCUUAACCUGGGAACUGCAUUUGUGACUGCAUAGCUAGAGUACGGUAGAGGGGGAUGGAAUUCCGCGUGUAGCAGUGAAAUGCGUAGAUAUGCGGAGGAACACCGAUGGCGAAGGCAAUCCCCUGGACCUGUACUGACGCUCAUGCACGAAAGCGUGGGGAGCAAACAGG